rnacentral:rRNA from 1 species
GAUGAACGCUAGCGGCAGGCUUAACACAUGCAAGUCGAGGGGUAUAGUUCUUCGGAGCUAGAGACCGGCGCACGGGUGCGUAACGCGUAUGUAAUCUACCUUUUACAGGGGGAUAGCCCAGCGAAAUUUGGAUUAAUACCCCAUAGUAUGUUGUUGUGGCAUAACUAUAACAUUAAAGUUCCAACGGUAAAAGAUGAGUAUGCGUCCCAUUAGCUAGAUGGUAAGGUGACGGCUCACCAUGGCUACGGGGGGUAGGGGUCCUGAGGGGGAGAUCCCCCACACUGGUACUGAGACACGGACCAGACUCCUACGGGAGGCAGCAGUGAGGAAUAUAGGACAAUGGGCGCAAGCCUGAUCCAGCCAUGCCGCGUGCAGGAUGACGGUCCUAUGGAUUGUAAACUGCUUUUGUACAGGAAGAAACACUCCCUCGUGAGGGAGCUUGACGGUACUGUAAGAAUAAGGAUCGGCUAACUCCGUGCCAGCAGCCGCCGUAA